CAAGAGUAUUUCAGUUUGGCUUUAUGCCCUCUGAAAAUCUCCACCCUUUGUUUACAUUACCUUUGUUGUUGCCUCGGUGGGUGCUUUCUAGCACCUGCCGGCAGACACCUUCAAAACCCUUGAUUUAAUACUAUAGUCAGAGCUGUAACAAGCAAAGAUUAAUAAAUCA
rnacentral:misc_RNA from 1 species